rnacentral:rRNA from 1 species
UACGUAGGUGACCAGCGUUGUCCGGAUUUACUGGGCGUAAAGGGCGGGUAGGCGGCCACCGCAAGUCGACUGUGAAAUCUCCGGGCUUAACCCGGAAAGGUCAGCCGAUACUGCGGGGCUAGAGUGCAGAAGGGGCAACUGGAAUUCUCGGUGUAGCGGUGAAAUGCGUAGAUAUCGAGAGGAACACCUGCGGCGAAGGCGGGUUGCUGGGCUGACACUGACGCUGAACUGCGAAAGCUAGGGGAGCGAACGGG